GCCAGUGUGAUAUAGUGGUCUGAACAUUAGACUAUCACUCUGGAGACCAGGGUUCAAAUUCCUGCUCAGUGA